GUUUCACCAUGUUGGCCAGGCUGGUCUCGAACUCCUGAACUCAGGUGAUCCACCUGCCUUGACUUCCCAAAGUGCUGGGAUUACGGGCAUGAGCCACCACGCCCAGCCUUUAUAUAUAAACUUUCAUGUAUGAAAUCAUAAUGUGGUUUCUUUGACGAGUUUUAUAACAUCACUCAUUCUGCAUGAUUUUAAAAAAUCAGCUUUACUGGGUUAUGAUUUACAUUAAAUGUACCCAUUUACCUGUACAGUUUGAUACACUUAGAUAAAUGUACACACCUGCAUUCUGUAUGAUUUGGGGGAGACAGGUGACCUGAGUUCAAUCCUAAACUGAUAAUUUACUAAUCAUGUGACCUUGGGCAAAUUACCUUAACUUCUGAAAGCCCUGGUAAAAAUCCCACUUGAUAAUAAAAUCGAGUCCAGGAUAAUAAAAUAAAAAUCAAGUGGGAGUACUUUUCACUCUGUAACCAACUACUGCUGAAUUAUUCUUUUCCUUUUUUUGGACAGUCUCACCCUGUCACCCAGGCUGGAGUGCAGUGUUGUGAUCUCUCCUGGGCUCAAGCGAUCCUCCCGUCUCAGCCUCCCAAGUAGCUGGGAUUACAGGCGUGCACCACCAUGCCCAGCCUGAGAUAGCUUCUGUAAUUAUUCUAGCACAAUGCUAAGCACUUGCAGCAGAUGGGAGUCCUCAUAUGGCCAGAAACCAACAACUACCAAGGCUAUCUCUUGCAACUUCCUGCACUAGAGAGAUGUUCUUCUCGACUAUAGUUUAAACAACAACAACAACAACAACAACAACAACAGCCAGGGGAAGGACUAUGAGUGGCCCAGCCUGGGCAUUCAUCCUUAUACAAGUUCAACUUUGACCAUGGGAAUCAGGACAUAUAAGAGCAUGAUUGCUCCUGUUGGAAUCCCGUGGUUGCGGUUGGGGAUUUGGGUAACAAGUUCCCAAACAUAAGGGAGGGUGCUGAGUGGCCGCUUGCCGUACUCAGUCAUUGGCUGGGACUGCAGGAGUGGGGAAAAGCAUGGCCUCAGCUCAAAUACUGCAGCGGGUCCCAAAGGUGCUGCAACUGGAGGCUGUCAGCUGACCACUCUCCUUGCAGCUGAUCAUUCAGUUCUUUCUUGAAGGGAAAUGCAAACAGUGCACCUAUCUGUGGUUGCCAUGAGCCACCCCUUGUGCCCAUUCAUGAGAGCUCUGCCUUCAUGAUCUAACCACCUCCCAAAGACCAUACCCCCUAACACCAUCACCCUGGGGGUUGGGGUUUCAACAUAGGAAUUUAGGAGAACACAAACAUUCAGCCUAUAGCACCUGGAUCCCCUGGUCAGAUGCUAUAUUGUAUGAGAUUCCAUGCCUGUGGAUCAAGCACUCUAUAAACCCCUGGAUAGUGGUAAUGGCUGCAGCUCUGAGGACAGAGACAGCAAAUCCAUACUCGAAUCAGUGUCUGUUUAUCUGAGAAUGACACUCUGCCUCUCCAGGACAGAAGGGGCCCAAUUAGUCAACGUAUUGCUAGUGAGUCUCCUCCAGGAAUGGAGCUGCGUCAGGGCUGAACGUUGCUCUCUGUUGCUGCGAGGUUGGAUAUUCAAAGGCAGCAAUGGCAAGGUCAGAUUUGGUCAGUGAAGUCCAUGCUUUUGGGUCCACACGUAGCCUCUGUCUCUGCCACUGCGGCCACCCCCUUCACCUGCCCAUUGUCCCCAUUCCAAUGACAAAGCUUGUAUUUGUACAUUGAGCUGACCCACCAGUACACGAAGCAUAGGAGUUUCUUCCUCCGUCAGUUGGUCAUGAUGUUCCCCAGGGCCACGGGUGUGAGCUGAGGUAGGGACACUAGUGCCCUUAUCAGGCCCAAAUGUCCCCAGUAAAGUUAUGCUGGGAUUACCCCGAAUUAUCGAGCUGGCAGCCAGGAGAGAAAGUGGGCACAGCUUCUCAGAGGGACACCAGUUGCCUGGAGGGAAGAGGCCUCUGCAGUGUAUUUUUGCACAGGGAGGGGUGGGCCACCUAUGCAGAUUCUGGGGGUACUGGGGAGUCUGCAGAUACACCAUCUUUCAGGGCAUCCACCCAGAUUUUCCCAUCCUAUGUUUCAGGGCCCCAGAUGUUCCCAUCCGGGGCACAACAGACCUGAAUGCUCAGAAAGACAUUCAGCCAUUUUGGGGAACUUUGACCCUGACUCUCAGAUCCUGAGUUUGUUCCUUAGUUGUGCUAGCUCUUUCACCCUGUAAACUGCUGAAGAGACCGUCUGUUUCUCACACUUAGCCAUAACUGUUUGUUGACUGCCCUCUGUUUGCAAUGCUUCCUCUGUAGCAGGGAUCCCCAACUCCCGGGCCACGGACCCGUGGGCUGCACAGAAGGAGGUGAAGGCAGGCGAGUUAUUACCGCCAGCUCUGCCUCCUGUCAGGUCAGCGGCAUUAGAUACUCAUAGUAGUGCAAACCCUAUUGUGAACCGUGCAUGUGAGGGAUCUAGGUUGCACAGUCCUUAUGAGAAUCUAACUCCUGAUGAUCUGUCACUGUCUCCCAUCACCCCAGAUGGGACAGCUAGUUGUAGGAAAACAAGCUCAGGGCUCCCACUGAUUCUACAUUAUGGAGAGUUGUAUAAUUAUUUCAUUAUAUAUUACAAUGUAAUAAUAAUAGAAAUCAAGUGCCCAAUAAAUGUAAUGCACUUGAAUCAUCCUGAAACCUUCCCCUACCCCACCCCAGUCUGUGGAGAAACGGUCUUUCACAAAACUGGUCACUGGUGCCAAAAAGGUGGGGGACUGCUGUUCUGUAGGAUGUCAAUGCAGCUUUUGAGCAAUCAGCUCACUCCAUCUUUCCUGUGUGAGGUGCCUCCCCUCCCCCAGGCCCCCAUGCUUUCCAGGGCUUGAAUCCUAUCACUAGCCAGUGUAUUCUCCACUGGGAUGUCACUCUCAAGUCACUACUGAUAGUAUUUUUAGCAACUGGGAUAGCCCUUGUGACUGGGACUAUCCCUGCCCACAUACCACUUGGGAUGCGGUUCUCCUUGCCAGCUGGGAGCACGCGGUCCAGUCCCCAAACAGAGCUUGUUGUUUCUGACUGCCUUCAGGACCAACUGUGCUGAUGGGUUCUUAGGGAGGCAGACAUCAAGGCAAAGUUAGAAGGGCAAGAGAUUCGUUGUGGGUAGUAUCUGGUAAAGGACGAGGGAAAAGGAGUGGGAGUAGUCGGAGAAAGUCUCUAGGCCAUGGUGCAGGUCUGACACCUGUAAACGCAGAGGAGAAAGGAAGGAGGGUUGAGCAGGAAGAGCCUCAGGUCGAGGUGUAGCUCUGAGAAAAUCCUAGAGGAGUGCCAUGCUGGGCUGUGCUCAGACACUGGCUGGGAGCUUUCUGGGAAGAAAAUGGAUGUGGUGUGUAGGGACUAGAAGGAGGCAGGAGAUGGUUUUGGUAAUGAUCUGUUUCUUAAUCUGGGUUUUAUGUGUGUGUUCAUUUUAUAAAUUUUUAUCAAGCUCAUUUUUGACAUGUGAACUUUACAUAUGCUAUAUUUCAAUUUUCUAAAAGUCAUGAGUCUCUGCCUUUGGCUUCCAAAUAGCCUUAAUAAAGAAACUUAAUUAGGAUUUUGAAACCCAAACCCUAGGUGGGGAUAGUCUCAUACUGAAAAAACAAAUUUGUGGCCAGGCGUGGUGGCUCACUCCUGUAAUCCCAGCACUCUGGGAGGCUGAGGAGGGUGGAUCACCUGAGGUCAGGAGUUCAAGACCCACCUGGCCAACAUGGUGAAACCCUGUUUCUACUAAAAAUACAAAAAUUAGCUGGCCAUGGUGGCAUAUGCCUGUAUUCCCAGCUACUGGAGAGGCUGAGGCAGGAGAAUCGGUUGAACCCAGGAGGUGGAGGUUGCAGUGAGCCAAGAUCACACCACUGCACUCCAGCCUGGGCGACACAACAAGACUCCGUCUCAAAACAACAACAACAAAACAAACUGGUGAUAUACCCAAAGGAUCUUAGAAAUAUAUAAGCCAAUUUCUGUGAAUUUAUUAUCUGGAAUAAACCACACAAUGUAUAACGUCUUAAGUACAAAGAUGUUCAUUAUUACAUUGCUUAUAGUCGUGAACACUUGGAAAUAUCAUAAGUUUCCAUCAGUACAGAAACUACUGAAUAAAUCAUGGGAUGCAAUACAGUGGGAUACCAUGAAACAGUUGAAAAUAAUGAUGAGAAUCUAUAUUUCAUGGCAUGGGAGUAUGUUCAUGAUAUAACAUGAAUAAAUGAAAAGAAAGCACAAAUAUAUGCUUAAUAUGAUCCAUUUUACUAAAAAUGUUUCAAAAGCAUGUUUUUAUAGUUAGAAGAAAGACUGAGUAUUCUACAUAAAACAUGAAUAGUGCUUAUCUUUGGACAGUAUCUUAAAAAUGAUUAUUAUUUUCUGUAUCCUUUUAAUGUUUAAUGUUUCUGUUUUUUAUGAUGAAAAUUUAAUUCAGUUGCUCCCUGACUUAUGAUGGGGUCAUAUCCUGAUGAACCCAUCAUAUGUUGAAAAUAAGUCAAAAAUGCAGUUAAGACACCUAACCUAGGCUGGGCGCAGUGGGUGACACCUGUAAUCCCAGCACUUGGGGAGGCCGAGGGAGGUGGAUCAUGAGGUCAGGAGUUUGGGAGCAGCCUGGCCAACAUAGUGAAACCCUGUCUCUAUUCUGUACUAUUAAAAGUACAGAAAUUAGCCAGGUGUGGUGGUGGGCGCCUGUAGUCCCAACUACUUGGGAGGCUGAGGCAUGAGAAUCACUUGAACACGGGAGGUGGAGGUUGCAGUGAGUUGAGAUCAGGCCACUGUACUCCAGACUGGGCGACAGAGUGAAACUCUGUCUCAAAAAAAAGAAAAGAAAAGAAAAAAAAGACACCUAACCUCCUAAACAUUAUAAACCAGGUUAUGCGAUAUUUUAGGGUAGGGAAUUAAAGCUUACUCAUCCAUGUCCACCCAUUGUCUUUCACAUUACCUAGGAUAUGAGAUAGAAGUUCCAUUUGUAUUAGUUGGCCAAAAAGGAAUUAAUUCAUGAAUAAUAAAUGAAUGAAAAAAUGAAUGCUAGGUGAGUCAUUGAUAUGACUAUUGAUAUUUUAACCAGCUUACCCUUUUGUAUUUAAGUAAUAUAGUGCCUUUCACUUAAAAUCCAAAGGGUAAGCUGGUUAAAAUAUCAAUAGUCAAGACUUUGUAAAAUAUUUUUUUUCCUCGACUUAUCAUCACUCUGAAAACCCCACUGAAGGAUUUUCUUUCCACCCUUGCAACUCUGGGCUCCGCACAGCUGAAGGGCCUGGUAAGGGAGUGCACUCUUGCCAGGGGACACAGUGAACUACAAAUAUGGCUGUCACCUUUGGAGUCCUUGGAGUGUCCUAUGGAUACUUUGGAGUCCUUGUGUCCAGGAGCCAGGAGACAAACAGAGGAGUCACCAUCUUGGCAGAGGUCAUUGUCCCUGAUCAGCAGGUGGAGGCAGGGCUCCUGUUACACAGUGGGGAUGAGUACAAGGUAUUUGGAACCAGGGAGUAGUAUGGGCUGGCUACAGAAUUGGCAACGUCAUUUGCAAUCAUGUUUCAGCUGCCAUUUACAAGGUGAUGAUCCAUGAAUCCUUACCUCUUUCAUGAGUUUCAGGCAAAUAUUUUAAACAGCAAACUUGAUGGUGCGACCAAAAUGGUGAAACCAUGGUGAAACUCCGUCUCUACUAAAAUACAAAAAUUAGCCAGGUGUGAUGGUGCGCACCUAUAAUCCCAGCUACUCAGGAGGCUGAGGCAGGAGAACUGUUUGAACCCGGGGGGCAGAGGUUGCAGUGAGCCGAGAUGGCGCCAUUGCACUCCAGCCUGAGUGACAGAGCGAGACUCCAUCUCAAAAAAAAAAAAAGAGAUUGAGCUGGAAGGAUAAAAUAUAGAUAGAAAAUCUAUUCUGGGUCCUUUGAACAAUUAUUGAGCUACUAUGUUGAAUUUAUUAAUGAAAGCGAUUCCUUGUCAUUUAAUAUUUUUAUCUCCAUGGGCUGCCAAG
rnacentral:lncRNA from 10 species